AACGAACGCUGGCGGCAUGCCUAACACAUGCAAGUCGAACGAAACCUUCGGGUCUAGUGGCGCACGGGUGCGUAACGCGUGGGAACCUGCCCUUAGGUUCGGAAUAACUUCCCGAAAGGGGUGCUAAUACCGGAUAAUUUCUCCGGACCAAAGAUUUAUCGCCUUUGGAUGGGCCCGCGUUGGAUUAGCUAGUUGGUAGGGUAAAAGCCUACCAAGGCGACGAUCCAUAGCUGGUCUGAGAGGAUGAUCAGCCACACUGGGACUGAGACACGGCCCAGACUCCUACGGGAGGCAGCAGUGGGGAAUAUUGGACAAUGGGCGAAAGCCUGAUCCAGCAAUGCCGCGUGAGUGAUGAAGGCCUUAGGGUUGUAAAGAUCUUUUACCCGGGAUGAUAAUGACAGUACCGGGAGAAUAAGCUCCGGCUAACUCCGUG
rnacentral:rRNA from 1 species